rnacentral:snRNA from 1 species
GCGUACAGCAGCGCGUCUACUAAAUUGAAACAAUACAGAGAAGAUUAACAUGGCCCCGGCCCAAGGACUUUCUUUGUUUUCUGUUUUGGUUCUUU